ACGGGUGAGUAACACGUAGGUAACCUGCCUUUAAGACUGGGAUAACUAUCGGAAACGAUAGCUAAGACCGGAUAACUGGUUUUCUCGCAUGAGAGAAUCAUAAAACACGGAGCAAUCUGUGGCUUAAAGAUGGGCCUGCGGCGCAUUAGCUAGUUGGUGAGGUAACGGCUCACCAAGGCGACGAUGCGUAGCCGACCUGAGAGGGUGAACGGCCACACUGGGACUGAGACACGGCCCAGACUCCUACGGGAGGCAGCAGUAGGGAAUCUUCCGCAAUGGACGCAAGUCUGACGGAGCAACGCCGCGUGAGUGAUGAAGGUUUUCGGAUCGUAAAGCUCUGUUGCCCUAGACGAACAGCAAGAGGAGUAACUGCCUUUUGUGUGACGGUAUAGGAGAAGAAAGCCCCGGCUAACUACGUGCCAGCAGCCGCGGUAAUACGUAGGGGGCAAGCGUUGUCCGGAAUUAUUGGGCGUAAAGCGCGCGCAGGCGGUCAUUUAAGUCUGGUGUUUAAUCCUGGGGCUCAACCCCAGUUCGCAUCGGAAACUGGAUGACUUGAGUGUAGGAGAGGAAAGUGGAAUUCCACGUGUA
rnacentral:rRNA from 1 species